UUCUUUGAGAGACAAGAAAGUAAUCAACAAAUAUAAACAACCUAGUUCCUAUACCAAAAGCUCCAAGGUAGUCAAGAAGAAUUUAUAAACCGUCUCAGUUGAAUGGUUUGAACUUUAUGACUAUGUCAUAGAGUUGCACCUCUUAAUUCGAAAGAAAUAAGAAUGAAAAUCCUUAUGACUACAUUGAGUGUAUAUAUGAUAUAUACUCAAGAAAAUGGUAAAGUACCAUUUGACCCGAAAUAAUGAAACCUUCAUAAGCUAAUUGGUAGCUUAAGGUGACUACAAUC
rnacentral:lncRNA from 1 species